rnacentral:tRNA from 1 species
GCCUUCUGUGGCUCAGUGGGUAGAGCAUCUGUCUUGUAAACAGAAAGGUCCCCGGUUCAAUCCCGGGCGGAGGCA